rnacentral:lncRNA from 1 species
CAGGAACAGCACAAUCUGGAGCCCAGUAUGUCACAUUCUUCUCUGUAGCUACAGAUAAAGUUUCACAUCAGUGCCUGUCAUCAUGCAAAUUUAUUCUCAAUGGGAUUACUCGGAACUAUGCUGGUACUUGUUCCUGCUUGUGUAUCCAAGCUUGUCCCUCCCUGGGCUUUGCCAGCUUAGUUUCCCGGGAAAGAAGGAGCUGGAGACAUUGCAACAGACCCUGGACAAGGGAAAAAUGUUCUAAAGUUGGCCCUUGAAAAGCAUUUCUACCUGGAUCUUCAGCAUUAGUCAUCUGAGGAUAAGACACCUUCAUAUACUGGAGGUGCUAAUCUCUUCCCUCCAUGUAAUCUGGUAUAAAAGUAAAACAAAAAAGAUAAAACACUAUCCUUUACCCAAUUAAAAAAUAAAAAGUAGUCAAAUAAAAAAAAAGGCCCA